CGGGGCGUAGCGCAGCCUGGUAGCGCAUUUGCCUGGGGGGCAAAGGGUCGUGGGUUCGAAUCCCGCCGCCCCGACCA
rnacentral:tRNA from 7 species